GAAUAGGCUUAGGGAUAGCAGCGUAAAUCUUUCCCCUUUAGACGUAUUAAAGGCAGGGGAAAAGAUUGCAGCAUAUAGCCCGCCCGUAA
rnacentral:sRNA from 1 species